rnacentral:rRNA from 1 species
GAUGAACGCUGGCGGUAUGCUUAACACAUGCAAGUCGAACGGACUCUUCGGGGUUAGUGGCGGACGGGUGAGUAACGCGUGAGAAUCUGGCUUUGGGUUCGGGACAACCACUGGAAACGGUGGCUAAUACCGGAUGUGCCGAGAGGUAAAAGAGAAAUUGCCUGAAGAUGAGCUCGCGUCUGAUUAGCUAGUUGGUGAGGUAAAGGCUCACCAAGGCAGCGAUCAGUAGCUGGUCUGAGAGGAUGACCAGCCACACUGGGACUGAGACACGGCCCAGACUCCUACGGGAGGCAGCAGUGGGGAAUUUUCCGCAAUGGGCGAAAGCCUGACGGAGCAGUACCGCGUGAGGGAAGAAGGCUCUUGGGUUGUAAACCUCUUUUCUUAGGGAAGAACAAAAUGACGGUACCUAAGGAAUCAGCAUCGGCUAACUCCGU